rnacentral:rRNA from 1 species
GAUGAACGCUGGCGGCGUGCCUAAUACAUGCAAGUCGAGCGAACGGACGAGAAGCUUGCUUCUCUGAUGUUAGCGGCGGACGGGUGAGUAACACGUGGAUAACCUACCUAUAAGACUGGGAUAACUUCGGGAAACCGGAGCUAAUACCGGAUAAUAUUUUGAACCGCAUGGUUCAAAAGUGAAAGACGGUCUUGCUGUCACUUAUAGAUGGAUCCGCGCUGCAUUAGCUAGUUGGUAAGGUAACGGCUUACCAAGGCAACGAUGCAUAGCCGACCUGAGAGGGUGAUCGGCCACACUGGAACUGAGACACGGCCCAGACUCCUACGGGAGGCAGCAGUAGGGAAUCUUCCGCAAUGGGAGAAAGCCUGACGGAGCAACGCCGCGUGAGUGAUGAAGGUCUUCGGAUCGUAAAACUCUGUUAUUAGGGAAGAACAUAUGUGUAAGUAACUGUGCACAUCUUGACGGUACCUAAUCAGAAAGCCACGGCUAACUACGUG